rnacentral:miRNA from 1 species
AUAUAUAUAUAUAUAUAUAUGUGUGUGUGUGUGUGUGUGUGUGUGUGUGUGUGUGUGUACACACAUACAUACAUACACACACAUAUGGAUAUAUAUA